rnacentral:tRNA from 1 species
GCUCCGUUCGUCUAGCGGUUAGGACGCCAGGUUUUCAUCCUGGUAGCAGGGGUUCGAUUCCCCUACGGAGUACUA